UUAAGUUUAGUUUAAUUAAAAUAAUUCAUUUACAAUGAAAAGAAUUUAAUAUAUAAUUAAAAAUUUAUA
rnacentral:tRNA from 1 species